rnacentral:rRNA from 1 species
GAUGAACGCUGGCGGCGUGCUUAACACAUGCAAGUCGAACGGAAACGCCCAAGCUUGCUUGGGUACUCGAGUGGCGAACGGGUGAGUAACACGUGGGUGAUCUGCCCUGCACUUCGGGAUAAGCCUGGGAAACUGGGUCUAAUACCGGAUAGGACCACACUUUGGAUGGCGCGGUGGAAAGUUUUUCGGUGUGGGAUGAGCUCGCGGCCUAUCAGCUUGUUGGUGGGGUAAUGGCCUACCAAGGCGUCGACGGGAAGCUGGCCUGAGAGGGUGUACGGCCACAUUGGGACUGGGAUGCGGCCCAGACUCCUACGGGAGGCAGCAGUGGGGAAUAGUGCACAAUGGGCGCAAGCCUGAUGCAGCGACGCCGCGUGGGGGAUGACGGCCUUCGGGUUGUAAACUCCUUUCGCUAGGGACGAAGCGCAAGUGACGGUACCUGGAGAAGAAGCACCGGCUAACUACGUG